AUACUGAACCCAAUUAUACCAUUCAUCCAAUGCAAACAGCCCAUGCUCAUAAGGAACAAGUGGAAGUCCAAGAGCCAAAACCGAAGGAGCACGAAGAUCAAUGUCUUCCCAAACCUCCGGAUAAGGUAGAGUUUGUUUUGCCAGAUUUUAGUACUAAAUUGCAGCUACACAUGGAGAAACAUGAAUUGGAGUUCAAGGUGCUUCCCAAUCAUCUCAAAAAUGCAAACAUAAGAGCUAG
rnacentral:lncRNA from 1 species